UCCCUAGUGGUCCAGUGGUUUGGACUUCACACUUCCACUGUGUAGGCAUGGGUUUGAUCGCUGUUUGGGGAA
rnacentral:tRNA from 1 species